UACGGAGGGGGCUAGCGUUGUUCGGAAUUACUGGGCGUAAAGCGCACGUAGGCGGCUUUGUAAGUUAGAGGUGAAAGCCCGGGGCUCAACUCCGGAAUUGCCUUUAAGACUGCAUCGCUAGAAUUGUGGAGAGGGAAGUGGAAUUCCGGGUGUAGUGGUGAAAUGCGUAGAUAUCCGGAGGAACACCAGUGGCGAAGGCGACUUCCGGGCCUGUUCUUGACGCUGAGGCGCGAAAGCUGGGGGAGCAAACGGG
rnacentral:rRNA from 1 species